UGGAGUUUUGGGCCUCCGGUCCACGAUCCACAAAGCUGCACCAGACCUUCAGUACAUAUGAGAUACGUUAACAUGAAAAUGGCAGCUACACUAACGGAGAAUCCUUCGCCGCCGUCUGCCUCAAAUGUUCCGGUUCGAAACUCUCACCAGGCUAAAAGCAGAAGUCGGAUUCAGGUUCACGAUGUUGUUACAGCAAAGUGUCGAGUUCGCGCAUUAUAGCGUCGUCGUCCAGAUUCGUGCGUCGAACUUGUGAUUCAGAUCGCAAUUGCCGAUGUUGGAUUCGAAUUGAAACCGCGUGUGCAACAAUCAAGGAUCAGAGAUCAAAUGCAUACCAAAUUCGUGCACCAGCGAGACGGAGCCUUCAGAUCCGUACUUUUGCGCUGCUGUGAACUAGUUAUGCCUCCUGAAUUUUAGUUUGUUUUCAAGAUGAAUUCUGCUACUCAGUGUUAUGAAAUGGCAUGGUUAUGUUGGUUAAUGCAAACUCUUAUUGGAAGUGCAGGUUGUGUUAAAAUGUUAAAAGAUUGUUUUGGUUUUAUUGUCCAGUUUACUGAUUUUACAGGGAUAUUGCUAAAUGUAUAUGUAGGGUGAAUUGUGAAUGUGGGAUAUGAGCAUUGUUGUGGUGGGCUGUCAUGAACUCGGCCAGGAUGCUUGUUUGCUCAUGGGAUUGGAUUUAGGAUUAGAUGUAGGAGCUUAUGCCAUGAGUUUGUGAUGAAAAUGUGGGAAAUUAAAUUUGUCAUGUAAUGAAUCAUGUAAUGCAUGUAUUGAAUCAAUGUUUUGGAUCUUGGUUAUAUUUGGAAAUUGUAUGGCAUGUUUCAAUGUAAUGUAUGCAACAUGAUCUUUACUAAUCAAUUCAAACAAAUUCUCCA